ensembl:lncRNA
AUAUUCCUACUGUCUCCAUAAGUUCAGAGGACGAGGUACAUUUUCUAAAAUGUAUUAGUGUUCGUUUCAAUGUAUUAGUUUCUUCUGCUUUCUUCUUUUGAUCUGUUGGUUAUUUAAAUCAUUCACUGUUUUUCUGUAUGUAGUCUCUAACUUUGGAGGAGAAGUUUCCUGUGCCUUUUGCUGCAAAGGUAAAAUGGUCUAUAGUCUACCAUGUGAACCGUCUUUUCCAUUUAGUAGUAGUUUGGGGUGGACAUUAUGUGUAACUUCUGUACACAUGCUUCCAAUCCAUCAGGUACUGACGCAACAGAUCCGCAAUGAUGUGGACAAAGACGCGGUCUUGAUCAGCAUUGGAAGUUGUCGUGCCACGUUUCGCGACUUAGACAGUCUGGCAGGCCCAGAGUUCAACUGGCUGACCGAUGAUAUUGUGAAUACGUGCGUUGCAGUGAUUGCUGCAGAUCACAAACAACGUUCCACUGACAAAGCCGUGUUCCACGCCCUUACCACAGACGCAUACACGUUGUGGUGUCGUGACUGGACAGCACAUAGUUGUGUUACGGAAAGAACUUUAAGCUGUAUCAAUGGCAUUAAGCCAGAUGGCGUGGUGCUACUGCCCCGUCUCGUUGGUCUGCGUUAAAAUAAAGCUUUACAGGUUUGGUCAGCGGACACCUGGGUUUAAAUGCGUUGUACUGUAGCUU